AGAGUUUGAUCAUGGCUCAGGAUGAACGCUAGCGGCAGGCCUAAUACAUGCAAGUCCGAACGCUCAGUAGCAAUACUGGGAGUGGCGCACGGGUGCGUAACGCGUACACAAUCUACCUCUAAGCGGGGGACACCUCCUGGAAACGGGGAUUAAUACCGCAUAAUAUGCCGAAGUCGCAUGACUUUGGUAUUAAAGCAGCAAUGCACUUAGAGAUGAGUGUGCGUCCCAUUAGGUAGUUGGUGAGGUAACGGCUCACCAAGCCUAUGAUGGGUAGCCGGUCUGAGAGGAUGGUCGGCCACACGGGCACUGAGACACGGGCCCGACUCCUACGGGAGGCAGCAGUAAGGAAUAUUGGUCAAUGGUGGAAACACUGAACCAGCCAUGCCGCGUGGAGGAAUAAGGUCCUACGGAUUGUAAACUCCUUUUGACGAGGAAGAAAAUGUUAGAUUUAUCUAAUUUUGACGGUACUCGUAGAAUAAGCACCGGCUAACUCCGUG
rnacentral:rRNA from 1 species